rnacentral:tRNA from 1 species
GGCGCUUUGGCGGAGUGGUUAACGCGAUGCCCUGCUAUUGUCUAACGGCAAAGCCUAGGCAUUUCCUUCGGGAGCGUGUGUUCGAAUCACACAGGCGUCG